rnacentral:lncRNA from 1 species
UGGGUGGGGAUUGGGCCUUGAAAUGCGCAUGCGUGGCUAAGUGGCCCUCACAGUGGUGGGGGCGGGGCCCGGAACGGCCGUGUAGCUUUAAACUGCUCCUCUCACCUAGCCGGUCCAGCUUAGAGAGCGUCGGAUCUCUGGAUCUUAUUUAAAUCUGCUUUUGCUGGCAUUCUGUGACAGCCCACGACAGGGGAUGGAAGGGUUGCUGCCAUGGUGCUGCCCUGCUGGGCCAUGUCCACUGGAGCCACCUCUACAAGUUCCCAAUAGCGCCUGUCCCUGGCAGUGUGCCCUGGAGACCCCUCACUGUGGACAGAACCCCUGCUGGAAAUGCUUCCUUCAGUGCUACUACAAUUGGCUGCAUCAAGAGGUUGGACAUUGCAUGCCUUCUUGUCCCUUUGGGCACCACAGGCUCUUCUCACUGGUUCUUUCUUUGAAUUUGUGUCCAAAUUCAGAGGACAUAUGCUAAGUUCUGCUGAGAAGUUCUUGCUACAGCUGCGGGUACAACUGUAAAUAAAAUACGUGUUCUCCCAUGAUGUAGCUAGGGUGUUAAUGGCAUGGACAGAACUGACACUGGCAGCUGAGAAAAGUUUCUAGUUGAGCCCUGAUGGUAGUGAAAUGCCUGUUCCUCUUCUUUUCUGGAUUAGUACCUUUGGUUGCACUCAAUGUUGAUCUGUAUAUUUAUGAAAAUACGGAGGAAUGAAGCCAAUCUCUAGAAUAUGGAUAUUGAACCAAAGUUCUGAAGGUCGAUGAGAUGUCUAUAAAAGUUUGCUGUCUUCCAAUGAAAUAUGCCAUUGACAGGUAAUAAAAAGAGCAUAUUAACUCUUCACAAAGACAUUCUUAGAUAAUUUUAAAUAAGUUCUACUCUGGAGCAGCAUAAAUGAGCAAUCAGUUGAGGUGCUAAGGCAGGUAGAAGUAUGUGCCCCACAGAAGUCCAUAUUCAAAUCCCUGAAAUUUGUGAAAAUGCUAUCUCACAUGGGAAAAAGGACCUUUGCAGAUAUGAUUAAGAUUAUGUGUAAAUACCGAAUAGUGUGAGAAACUGAAAGUGUAAAUAAGGACUAAAAGGUAUAAUAGAUAAUGUGAAAUAGGAAGAAAAGGG